CCUACGGGAGGCAGCAGUGAGGAAUAUUGGUCAAUGGACGAGAGUCUGAACCAGCCAAGUAGCGUGAAGGAUGACUGCCCUAUGGGUUGUAAACUUCUUUUAUAUGGGAAUAAAAUGUUCCACGUGUGGGAUUUUGUAUGUACCAUAUGAAUAAGGAUCGGCUAACUCCGUGCCAGCAGCCGCGGUAAUACGGAGGAUCCGAGCGUUAUCCGGAUUUAUUGGGUUUAAAGGGAGCGUAGGUGGAAUGUUAAGUCAGUUGUGAAAGUUUGCGGCUCAACCGUAAAAUUGCAGUUGAAACUGGCAGUCUUGAGUACAGUAGAGGUGGGCGGAAUGCGUGGUGUAGCGGUGAAAUGCUUAGAUAUCACGAAGAACUCCGAUUGCGAAGGCAGUUCACUGGACUGCAACUGACACUGAGGCUCGAAAGUGUGGGUAUCAAACAGGAUUAGAUACCCGGGUAGUC
rnacentral:rRNA from 1 species